AUAAUAACAACAACAACAACAAUAGGAUCAACAAGAAGAAGAAUAACAAUAAGAAGAACAACAACAAGAACAAUAGGAACAACAAGAAGAAGAAUAACAACAACUAGAACAAUAUGAACAACAACAAGAAGAAUAACAACAAAAACAAAAACAACAACGACAACAACAACAAAAAACAACAACAACAAUAACAACAAUAUUAACAACAAUAACAACAACAUCAACAAUAACAACAACAACAUGAACAACAAUAACAACAAUAACAACAACAACAACAUCAACAACAACAACAACAACGAAAACAACAAGAACAAAAUAAAAAGAACAAAAAAAAAGAAUAAAAACAAUAACAACGACGACAACAACAACAAAAAAUAACAACAAUAAUAACAACAACAAAAUAAAUAAACAUAAUCAUUAACAAGAAAAUAUUAGCUGACACAACAACAACAACUAAUGUUGCUAAGUUGAAUCCAUGAUUUUCAUGCCUUGUUCCAUUUGGAGAAGAGAUGAUGAAGUUC
rnacentral:lncRNA from 1 species